GACGAACGCUGGCGGCGUGCUUAACACAUGCAAGUCGAACGGAAAGGCCCCAGCUUGCUGGGGUACUCGAGUGGCGAACGGGUGAGUAACACGUGGGUGAUCUGCCCUGCACUCUGGGAUAAGCCUGGGAAACUGGGUCUAAUACCGGAUAGGACCGUGCUUUAGUGUGUGCGGUGGAAAGUUUUUCGGUGCAGGAUGAGCCCGCGGCCUAUCAGCUUGUUGGUGGGGUAAUGGCCUACCAAGGCGGCGACGGGUAGCCGGCCUGAGAGGGUGUACGGCCAAAUUGGGACUGAGACACGGCCCAGACUCCUACGGGAGGCAGCAGUGGGGAAUAUUGCACAAUGGGCGCAAGCCUGAUGCAGCGACGCCGCGUGGGGGAUGACGGCCUUCGGGUUGUAAACCCCUUUCGGCAGGGACGAAGCUUUUGUGACGGUACCUGCAUAAGAAGCACCGGCUAACUACGUG
rnacentral:rRNA from 1 species